GAUGAACGCUGGCGGCGUGCCUAAUACAUGCAAGUCGAGCGAACAGAUGAGGAGCUUGCUCCUCUGACGUUAGCGGCGGACGGGUGAGUAACACGUGGAUAACCUCCCUAUAAGACUGGGAUAACUUCGGGAAACCGGAGCUAAUACCGGAUAAUAUCUUGAACCGCAUGGUUCAAUAGUGAAAGACGGUUUUGCUGUCACUUCUAGAUGGAUCCGCGCCGCAUUAGCUAGUUGGUAAGGUAACGGCUUACCAAGGCAACGAUGCGUAGCCGACCUGAGAGGGUGAUCGGCCACACGGGAACUUGGACACGGACCAGACUCCUACGGGAGGCAGCAGUAGGGUAUCUUCCGCAAUGGGCGAAAGCCUGACGGAGCAACGCCGCGUGAGAGAUGAAGGUCUUCGGAUCGUAAAACUCUGUUAUUAGUGAAGAACAAAUGUGUAAGGAACUAUGCACGGCUUGACGGUACCUAAUCAGAAAGCCACGGCUAACUACGUG
rnacentral:rRNA from 1 species